rnacentral:rRNA from 1 species
UACAGAGGGGGCAAGCGUUGUUCGGAAUUACUGGGCGUAAAGGGCGCGUAGGCGGCCUUCUAAGUCGAACGUGAAAUCCCCGGGCUCAACCCGGGAACUGCGUCCGAUACUGGAAGGCUUGAAUCCGGGAGAGGGAUGCGGAAUUCCAGGUGUAGCGGUGAAAUGCGUAGAUAUCAGGAAGAACACCUAUGGCGAAGGCAGCUCUCUGGGACGGUACUGACGCUGAGACGCGAAGCGUGGGAGCGAACAGG